rnacentral:rRNA from 1 species
AGGAUGAACGCUAGCGGCAGGCUUAACACAUGCAAGUCGAGGGGUAUAGUAGCAAUACUAGAGACCGGCAAACGGGUGCGGAACACGUACACAAUCUACCUUUGUCUGGGGCAUAGCCCGAAGAAAUUCGGAUUAACUCCCCAUAAUAUACGACAGUGGCAUCACUGAUGUAUUAAAAAUUUAUUGGACAGAGAUGAGUGUGCGUCCCAUUAGCUAGUUGGUAGGGUAACGGCCUACCAAGGCGACGAUGGGUAGCUGGUGUGAGAGCACGACCAGCCACACGGGCACUGAGACACGGGCCCGACUCCUACGGGAGGCAGCAGUGAGGAAUAUUGGUCAAUGGACGCAAGUCUGAACCAGCCAUGCCGCGUGAAGGAUGAAGGCCUUCUGGGUUGUAAACUUCUUUUACCUGGGAAGAAACCUCGAUUUUCUAAUCGAGUUGACGGUACCAGAGGAUAAGCACCGGCUAACUCCGUGCCAGCAGCCGCGGUAAU